ensembl:lncRNA
CUUCCCUGGAGCUCCAAUCAGUGCCCACAGCGCAGGGCGGGAUGAGGCCAGGGCCCCCGGCAGCCGCACCGCAGCUUUGGCUGAGGAGAGGAGCCAGCAGUGCAGCUUUGUGACAAUCCUCUGGCGUGCUGGAUGGGGCUCCGGGCAGGGCCGCGCUUCCCUGGGGUUUCUAGCUCCCGGGAGCCCCGAUGCCUGGGUUCGAGCCCCUGGGUUCAGAGCCCCUCGCGGCCUUUGCGCCGCUGCCCAGGUGGCUGCCCUUCAUGCUGACGUUCCAGCUAUACCCUUCAGUACCGAGGACGCUGCCUUUCCAAACUAUAAAACCCACAUACAUACGAACACGGAAGCGCCCAUGCUGCUGCAGAAAGCGGAAUAGCACAACUUGUACAGAGCUUUCUCAAUCCCUUCGCCCUGCAACCACUGUUCCGUUCAACGUUGUUAGAGGUCAGGAUGCAAAAAAGACCAUUGACUCAGUGGAGAUCUGGAGGCUCAGAACAGGAAAGGACCUACCAGAAUGGAAUGUAUCUUCAUCUGCAAAGAUUAUGUGCCAGACUGCAUAUAUAGGUCUUAAAAAAACAAGAGGAAACACACUAAAGUGUUUUCAGGCUGGAGACUCCCUGCUACAGCAACAAACCCUCAAGAGUUUUUAUUUACUGUUAGAGAGCAACAUUGCUUCUACAGGGGCAAGAAGCAUGAGUUUUACUUUUGCAUUUGAGACAGCCGAAGACACUUGA